rnacentral:lncRNA from 1 species
AAGAAUAAUGACAUUUUCUUGAUACAGGUUCCUCUAAGUCACAAAUGUAAAAGACAGCAAGCUCAAUAUGCAGACCAUAUGGUCAUAUCAAUCUUUGUUUCCCUUCCUUUCUCCGUCUUCCCCUCUAGCGUCUCCUGCAGUUCCAAGCUGACACGGCAGAUGGUGUAGUUGAAUCGCCCAGGGAGCCUCAGCACAGCGGCCUCAGUCACCUCUCCACAAGGCAGCUGCCCCAAGCUGCAUUCAUUGGGACAAACCUACCUUCCUUCUAGAAUGGUUUCCUCCUCCAAGAAGCUGCGUUAGCACUGGACCAACGACAAACAAGUGAAGGGCUUGGGUCAGGAUACCUGUGUUACAGCUGCAGAAUGUCAAGCACAGGGGCAGUGACUACAGCUUGCCAGGGCAGAGCCCACAGAGCAUUAUCCUAAAUAUCAUGGCCACAAAUCCAAAUUAAGUGUUGGUGACUCAGGUACCAUGCGCUGCAUUGAAUGACUCAGUAAAAUUCCAACCAAAUGAUAAUGCAAACAUGAAAUCAGCAAGCAAGCAUAAUUUCUGGAAAUGAUAGAGUCCCACCGAGACUUGGCAAACAGGCCGUCCAUUUUCCCCUUGUUGCACAGUGUCACAAUGCCUCUUCUACAGAUGUGGCCCCCUGAGCUGUGAACUCCUUGAAGACAAGGACUAGAACAGUGCCUGGCACAGUCCAUGUUGUAUACAGGAGGAAGAGGAUGUGGCUGAGUGUGGCACUGGGGCACGUGAAUGCCCACAUGCAGAGGGGAUGCUUGACAAUUAAACCACCCAUAAAGCAAGGCAUUAUAAAUGGCUGUGAGUGUGGCCAGCAUUGACUUUGGGCAACAGAGCUCUGGAUUUGCUAAGCCUCACGGGUCCUCUAAGGCUGUGCUCUCCUAGCCGAAUCCGCACAUCAGCCCUCUCCGGA